CCUACGGGUGGCAGCAGUGGGGAAUAUUGGACAAUGGGGGCAACCCUGAUCCAGCCAUGCCGCGUGUGUGAAGAAGGCCCUCGGGUUGUAAAGCACUUUCAGUGAGGAAGAACGCCUGGUGGUUAAUACCCAUCAGGAAAGACAUCACUCACAGAAGAAGCACCGGCUAACUCCGUGCCAGCAGCCGCGGUAAUACGGAGGGUGCGAGCGUUAAUCGGAAUUACUGGGCGUAAAGCGCGCGUAGGUGGCUUGAUAAGCCGGUUGUGAAAGCCCCGGGCUCAACCUGGGAACGGCAUCCGGAACUGUCAAGCUAGAGUGCAGGAGAGGAAGGUAGAAUUCCCGGUGUAGCGGUGAAAUGCGUAGAGAUCGGGCGGAAUACCAGUGGCGAAGGCGGCCUUCUGGACUGACACUGACACUGAGGUGCGAAAGCGUGGGUAGCAAACAGGAUUAGAUACCCUUGUAGUC
rnacentral:rRNA from 1 species